rnacentral:lncRNA from 1 species
CCUGCACAAGCUCUCUUUGCCUGCUGCAAUCCACAUAAGAUGUGACUUGCUCCUCCUUGCCUUCCACCAUGAUUGUGAGGCUUCCCCAGCUACGUGGAACUAUGAUUCCAAUGUACAGCCAAUGAUGAGCAGCUGCUGGGCUGAAGGGACUGGGGCCAUUUUAUACCAGGAUGUUACACAGAAAUGCCUGAAAAGCAAGGAGCAGCUAUCAGAAUGUUUGGUGACACAGCUCCUCCUGUCGUGGUUCCUUCGGCAUGGACUUCACAUUCAGCAGAUCCAUGAGGUGUUCCCUUUCGGAUGAGCUCCAAGGUCUUAAGAGAGCAUCUCUAGUCUGCGUGAGUCCGUCUGAACGACGGUCCUGAGCAAGAACCACCUAUAACCAUCUGCUCAAAAUAACUCAGGGGAAGUCAAAGCUUUCUAUGUGGAAGGUGACUGAAACCACAUACACAGACCACUGCAGCAUUCCUGACAUUAUGGAACUUGGAAAUGAUUCCAAACAUGGCCAUAGCUUGAGUAACAUGUUUUGCUAUGACAAGAACUUGGACUGUAGUCCUUCCCCCUCUCAAGAAUGUGACAUCACACCUUAUCAGAUCCUACGAGUGAGCUACUGACCUCAACCACUGAACUUCAAACUAUGUAAAAACCUAAGGGUUCGACAGACACUUUGAGAGCUUGGGCUGUGGCAAGCUACACUCUGUCAGCCUCUCUUCGACAGGGCCCCACCCUGCUAGCCUUUGAACUUGGAAGCAUCGCCCACAAACACCAGUGCCACCCUCUAGCCUUGAGGGACCAUAUAUGUCUCUGUGAAUCUCCGUUGCAUUGGACAGCUUCUCUCCCAAGAGCUGCUCUUAUAAAAGAGACACACCACAUUUUAAUGAGGCUUCGCUCUCCACAGAGGCCUGCUUCCAUCCUAAUUGAGCAAGUAGACUUUAGUAACUUUGGAACUCACUCACCCCGUGACUAAUACACCCUGUCUACCCAGCGCAUUCCCUGUGAGAUUUGUUCAUGUUGUUCUCCCCCUCCUUAAGCAUUGUGAACCUAGGAAAAAUAUCAUCUCUGUAGGGCAAUAAACCAUGUGAUUUGUGAAAU